rnacentral:rRNA from 1 species
AGAGUUUGAUCAUGGCUCAGAACGAACGCUGGCGGCAGGCUUAACACAUGCAAGUCGAACGCACCGCAAGGUGAGUGGCAGACGGGUGAGUAACGCGUGGGAACGUGCCCUUCAGUUCGGGAUAACCCAGGGAAACUUGGGCUAAUACCGGAUACGUGCGAGAGCAGAAAGAUUGAUCGCUGAAGGAUCGGCCCGCGUCUGAUUAGCUAGUUGGUAGGGUAAUGGCCUACCAAGGCGACGAUCAGUAGCUGGUCUGAGAGGAUGAUCAGCCACAUUGGGACUGAGACACGGCCCAAACUCCUACGGGAGGCAGCAGUGGGGAAUAUUGGACAAUGGGCGCAAGCCUGAUCCAGCCAUGCCGCGUGAGUGAUGAAGGCCUUAGGGUUGUAAAGCUCUUUCGGCGGGGACGAUAAUGACGGUACCCGCAGAAGAAGCCCCGGCUAACUUCGUGCCAGCAGCCGCGGUAAUACGAAGGGGGCUAGCGUUGUUCGGAAUCACUGGGCGUAAAGGGCGCGUAGGCGGCCUGAUAAGUCGGGGGUGAGAGCCUGUGGCUCAACCACAGAAUUGCCUUCGAUACUGUCGGGCUUGAGACCGGAAGAGGUAAGUGGAACUGCGAGUGUAGAGGUGAAAUUCGUAGAUAUUCGCAAGAACACCAGUGGCGAAGGCGGCUUACUGGUCCGGUUCUGACGCUGAGGCGCGAAAGCGUGGGGAGCAAACAGGAUUAGAUACCCUAGUAGUCC